rnacentral:rRNA from 1 species
UGAUGGCCCACCAACGGCGAUGAUCGGUAUCCGGCCUGAGAGGGCGCACGGCCACACUGGGACUGAGAAACGGCGCAGACUCCUACGGGAGGCAGCAGUGAGGAAUUUUCUGCAAUGGGCGAAAGCCUGACGGAGCGACGCCGCGUGUGGGAAGAAGGCGUUCGGGUCGUAAACCACUGUCGAAGGGGACUAUACUGAAGGUACCCUUGGAGGAAGCCCCGGCUAACUACGUGCCAGCAGCCGCGGUAAGACGUAGGGGGCAAGCGUUAUUCGGAAUUAUUGGGCGUAAAGCGCUCGUAGGCGGGAAAGCAAGUCCGUGUUGAAAGACCUCGGCUCAACUGAGGGACCGGCUCGGAUACUGCUUUUCUUGAGGCAAUCAGAGGGUGAUGGAAUUCCCGGUGUAGCGGUGAAAUG